UACGUAGGGGGCAAGCGUUGUCCGGAAUCAUUGGGCGUAAAGAGCGUGUAGGCGGCCAGAAAAGUCCGCUGUGAAAACUCGAGGCUCAACUUCGAGCUGUCGGUGGAAACUUUCUGGCUAGAGUCCGGAAGAGGAGAAUGGAAUUCCUGGUGUAGCGGUGAAAUGCGCAGAUAUCAGGAAGAACACCCGUGGCGAAAGCGCUCUGCUAGGCCGCAACUGACACUGAGGGACGAAAGCUAGGGGAGCGAAUGGG
rnacentral:rRNA from 1 species